AGUUUGAUCCUGGCUCAGAACUACAGCUUGUGGUGUGUCUUAGUCAUGCAAGUCGAACGAGAAAGUCAUCUUCGGUGGGCGAGUACAGUUGCGACGGGGUGAGUAACACGUGGGCAACCUGCCCCUAAGUUUGGGAUAACACUUCCAACGAGGUGCUAAUACCGAAUGACAAGGCGAGCUGAUGACUCGUUUUAAAAGGUGGCCUCUAUUUAUAAGCUGCCGCCUAGGGAUGGGCACGCGUCGUAUUAGCUUGUUGGUAGGGUAAUGGCCUACCAAGGCGACGAUGCGUAGCCGGCCUGAGAGGGUAAACGGCCACACUGGCACUGAGAUAAGGGCCAGUCUCCUACGGGAGCCAGCAGUCUAGAAAUUUGCACAAUCGCCGAAAGGCGGAUGCAGCGACACCACGUGGAGGAUGAAGCCCCUCGGGGUGUAAACUCCUGUCAGAAGGGAAGAAGGCGCGGGCGUUAAUACCGCUCGUUGCUUGACGGUACCUUCAGAGGAAGCUCCGGCUAACUACGUGCCAGCAGCCGCGGUAAUACGUAGGGAGCGAGCGUUGUUCGGAUUUACUGGGCGUAAAGGGCACGUAGGCGGGUAUGCAAGUCGGUUGUGAAAUCCUCUGGCUCAACCAGAGAACUGCAGCCGAAACUGCACACCUUGAGUCCAGCAGAGGGAAUCGGAAUCCCAGGUGUAGCGGUGAAAUGCGUAGAUAUCUGGGAGAACAUCAGUGGCGAAGGCGGAUUCCUGGGCUGGUACUGACGCUGAGGUGCGAAAGCUAAGGGAGCGAACAGGAUUAGAUACCCUGGUAGUCAUGAGUUUGAUCCUGGCUCAGGAUUAGAUACCCUGGUAG
rnacentral:rRNA from 1 species